UUCACAACAGACACUUUCCCUAAGAAUCUUAAACUGAUUUUUUAAAAUCCUAUAAAUUAGAAGGGGCUCUAGCUAUUUUCUGUGUCAAUCUUCAUUUUAAAUAUGGAUACAAAGGAUAUACCAAGCCAAUCAAAGACAAGCUUUAACUUUACUUUGGAGAUGUUUCUGAAAUGGUAAAAUGUAGCCCUAGCCCCUUCCCCUCAGUUGUAAAGUGAGCAACCAUUGCUAGUAAUUCUCUAAUGUGUAUAAAUUCAAUUUCAGGUAUAACAAAUGUGAUCAUGACAUGAAAAUAUUUUAGAAUAGAUACUGUAUUCAAUAUUGCCAUGUUUACAAUAUGUAAUAUGUUUUUUAGCCGAUGGAUUUAAACAUGUAGAUUCAACUAGAAUCCAUU
rnacentral:lncRNA from 1 species